CAUACGCUUGUUGAGGGCAGAUGAGAUGAAUGUGUGAGUCGAAGCCUCCUGCUGUGACGAUGUGGUGUUCGCCGGCGACGACGUCUGUUCCGUUGCCAACAAUCAUGUUGGAGUCAACGCCGUCCAUGACAUCUGGGUUUCCAGCCUUGCCGAUUCCCACGAUAACUCCGUUUUUGAUACCAAUGUCUGCUUUGUAGAUACCGGUCCAAUCGACAAUCAGGGCGUUGGUGACAACCGUAUCGAGCACAUCUGAGUCUUUGCGGUCAGAAGCUUGACCCAUUCCUUCACGCAG
rnacentral:sRNA from 1 species